rnacentral:rRNA from 1 species
GGGUCCUACUGUCUCCUCUCUCCAAUCAAUGAAACUGAUCUCUCCGUGAAGAAGCGGGGAUUUAACUAUAAGACGAGAAGACCCCAUGGAGCUUUAAACCCGACUACACCUCCACCUCUUAUACCCACAUAAUCAACGGAGUACUGUACAUCGGUUUUGGGUUGGGGUGACCACGGAGCACAAACUAACCUCCAUGAUGAAUAAGACUAACCCUUUAUCUAAGAGACACACCUCUAAGAAUUAGCACACUAACAUAAAAUGAUCCGAUAUUCGAUCAACGAACCAAGUUACCCUGGGGAUAACAGCGCAAUCCACUUCAAGAGCCCCUAUCCACAAGUGGGUUUACGACCUCGAUGUUGGAUCAGGGUAUCCUAGUGGUGCAGCAGCUACUAAAGGUUCGUUUGUUCAACGAUUAAAACCCU